GUCACUUUGGAAAUAACACUGCCUUCUGCUG
rnacentral:piRNA from 1 species